GCUGAAAUAUCACAGUUGAGACGGCGUUGGACUGACGAUCUAAAGGUCCCUGGUUCAAUCCCCGGUUGAGCU